rnacentral:miRNA from 1 species
AGUUGUGUGUGGAUGUAUAUGUAUGUGUGUAUAUAUAUAUAUGCACACACACACAU